rnacentral:snRNA from 1 species
UCAGCUCUCUUUGCCUUUUGGCUUAGAUCAAGUGUAGUAUCUGUUCUUUUCAGUUUAAUCUCUGAAACGUGGCUACGGCCACCUUCAAGAUUAUUCUUAUUUUUGGCCGUCGCCUGUGGGCCGCUGGGCUUGCUCAUGUCCACGGGCACCGUGUCGCCGGUAUUGCACUGUCUCCGGCUGACGCGAGCAUAG